rnacentral:misc_RNA from 1 species
CCGAAUUGUCGACAAGAGUUGUUGCUGGUCCUCGAACGGGGGCAUGUGCACGCUCUGUUAACACAUCCACUCACACCCUGUGCACCCUCUGUAGUUCUGUGGCUGGGGGGCCUCGUCCUCCUGCUGUGGUUCUGCAUCUUUACACACACACUGUAACAAAGUCUUAUGGAAUGCAUCUGCGUUUAACGCAAUACAAUA